rnacentral:rRNA from 1 species
GGUAUUGAAAUAAGGUUUUAAUUGAAUGCUAAAAGAAUGGAAUAUCAAAGAAUAACUUUCUUAAAAUUAAAAAUUGAAAUUUUUUUAAUUUGUGUAAAAACAAUUAUAUAAAUUAAAGACAAGAAGACCCUAAGAAUUUUUAAAAUUUAAAUUAACACAUUUUUGUUUAAAUUAAAUUUUAACUGGGGCGGUUAAAAAAUAUUAAAAACUUUUUAAUUUUGAAAAUGACCCAUUAUUAAUGAAAAUAUGAUAAAAUACUCUAGGGAUAACAGCGUUAUAUUUUUUGAUAGAUCAUAUUGACAAAAAAGUUUGCGACCUCGAUGUUGGAUUAGGAUACUUUUUUAAUGAAGAUAU